GCCCGAGUGGCGGAACGGUAGACGCAGGGGAUUCAAAAUCCCCCGCCGCAAGGUGUGUGGGUUCGAAUCCCACCUCGGGCACCA
rnacentral:tRNA from 1 species